UACGGAGGGUGCAAGCGUUGCUCGGAAUUAUUGGGCGUAAAGGGUAGGUAGGUGGUCUCGUUUGUCUGGGGUGAAAGCCUUGAGCUUAACUCAAGAAGUGCCCCAGAAACGGCGAGACUAGAGUCCUGGAGAGGGUCGUGGAAUUCCCGGUGUAGCGGUGAAAUGCGUAGAGAUCGGGAGGAACACCAGAGGCGAAGGCGGCGACCUGGACAGGUACUGACGCUGAGGUGCGAAAGCGUGGGGAGCAAACAGG
rnacentral:rRNA from 1 species